rnacentral:rRNA from 1 species
GACGAGCGCUGGCGGCGUGCUUAACACAUGCAAGUCGAACGGAAAGGCCCUGCUUUUGUGGGGUGCUCGAUUGGCGAACGGGUGAGUAACACGUGAGUAACCUGCCCUUGACUUUGUGAUAACUUCAGGAAACUGGGGCUAAUACCGGAUAGGAGCUCCUGCUGCAUGGUGGGGGUUGGAAAGUUUCGGCGGUUGGGGAUGGACUCGCGGCUUAUCAGCUUGUUGGUGGGGUAGUGGCUUACCAAGGCUUUGACGGGUAGCCGGCCUGAGAGGGUGACCGGCCACAAUGGGACUGAGAUACGGACCAGACGCCUACGGGAGGCAGCAGUGGGGAAUAUUGCACAAUGGGCGGAAGCCUGAUGCAGCAACGCCGCGUGCGGGAUGACGGCCUUCGGGUUGUAAACCGCUUUCGCCUGUGACGAAGCGUGAGUGACGGUAAUGGGUAAAGAAGCACCGGCUAACUACGUG